GACGAACGCUGGCGGCGUGCUUAACACAUGCAAGUCGAACGGAAAGGCCCUGCUUUUGUGGGGUGCUCGAGUGGCGAACGGGUGAGUAACACGUGAGUAACCUGCCCUUGACUUUGGGAUAACUUCAGGAAACUGGGGCUAAUACCGGAUAGGAGCUCCUGCUGCAUGGUGGGGGUUGGAAAGUUUCGGCGGUUGGGGAUGGACUCGCGGCUUAUCAGCUUGUUGGUGGGGUAGUGGCUUACCAAGGCUUUGACGGGUAGCCGGCCUGAGAGGGUGACCGGCCACAUGGGGACUGAGAGAGGGCCCAGACUCCAACGGGAGGCAGCAGUGGGGAAUAUUGCACAAUGGGCGGGGGCCUGAUGCAGCAACGCCGCGUGCGGGAUGACGGCCUUCGGGUUGUAAACCGCUUUCGCCUGUGACGAAGCGUGAGUGACGGUAAUGGGUAAAGAAGCACCGGCUAACUACGUG
rnacentral:rRNA from 1 species